AACGUAGGAGACAAGCGUUAUCCGGAAUUACUGGGCGUAAAGAGCGUGUAGGCGGAGGAUCAAGUUGGUCGUGAAAGCCCCCGGCUAAACUGGGGGAGGUCGAUCAAGACUGGUUGUCUAGAGUUCAGCAGAGGGGUACGGAAUUCCGGGUGUAGUGGUGAAAUGCGUAGAGAUCCGGAGGAACACCAGUGGCGAAGGCGGUGCCCUGGGCUGAAACUGACGCUAAGACGCGAAAGCAUGGGGAGCGAACGGU
rnacentral:rRNA from 1 species